ensembl:snoRNA SNORA62 Small nucleolar RNA SNORA62/SNORA6 family
CCUGCACAUUGUUAGAGCUUGGAGUUGAGGCCCCUCGCUAGUGAUAAACUCACAGGGGUAGAUAGCAUGCUACAUGAGGGGCAAGCCUUUCACUAAUACCACGAGGGUCUCUGGCACAAUGAGUGGAGUUUGAUAGUAAUUCUUGCUGCAAGA